rnacentral:tRNA from 2 species
GGAUGGGUACCCAAGUGGUUGAAGGGACCGGUCUUGAAAACCGGCAGGGGGCAACUCCUCGUGGGUUCGAAUCCCACCCCAUCCGCCA